AUGCUCACUGUAGCAGCACGUAUACUAAAACUGGAAUGAUACAGAGAAGAUUAGUAUGACCCCCAUGCAAGGAUGACAGGCAAAUUUAUAAAUCGCUUUAAAAAAUC